rnacentral:misc_RNA from 1 species
AAAAGGUAUAUUUAAACUGGUGCGAUAUAUUUUCAAUUGAUUAUGCAAAUUUUGGAUAUGUUUGUAUCGUUUCUUAAUUGUCCAAAUAAAUGGUCCAUGCCUAAAUUCAAUAGUAUACAAAUUUGGAUUCAAUGGAUGUGUUGUUACGCUACGCUCAUUGUCUAUAAUGUCCACAUGCACUUCUUCACCAGGAAUAAAAACAUUACGAUACUGGCUUUUAAAAUUUUUUGGUAAGUCGUGUAUAGCAGAGAAAGGUAUCACACCAGGACGUUCUAGUUUAAAUAAAGUAAACAAUGCACACACUAUUAUCAGUAUCAUUAUUAGAAUUAAUAUUUUCACUUUCAUUUAUAGUAAUUUCUAAUGAAUCAGGUACACCCAAUGUAUCAUCAUAUUCAGGAUCAUGAGAAACACAAUUCUCAGCUUUUUUGUUUAAAAUACUGUCAGACAUUGUUAACAGUAUUUUACAAAAUUAUCAAUAGAUAACUAAACAUAUGUAAUUAAGUUAAACUAGUUUCACAGUGUACUUUUCAUUGCCUUCAACUUAUAAUAACUUUUACAUUAUACUCCUGUUUCUUGCAAUAUCAAAUAAUUUUUUUACAUUACACAAAUUAUCUUUAUUAAUGAGAAAUAGUACAUACAACAGUAGAAG